UCAAGUUUUUAUGUUUUAUUUCCUGAUUUGUAAUCAUUUGCAUAAGCAAUGCUUACUUCACUGUGUAAUACAGUAUAUGCGUGAGUUCAAUGUCUUUUUAUGCAUUUCACCCUACAGUAUGUUUGAAAUAGUAUAUGUUGAGGAUUUCUGUAUUAUGAGAUGGAGUUUUAUUUUGUAUUUCUGGUCAACUUUUCUAAUUUGUGUUUCUGUUUCAAGCUGUGAGCAGGAUAUUUAUAUACGCUUUCUUAGGCGACUUAUCUGAUAGAUGGCUUUUGAUCUUAUUUUCCAUUUUUUCUCUUUAACUGAACUUAAAGCCACAUAUAGUAAGAAAGUGAAGAUGACAUUUUUCCAAGUGACUAUUGUUAGUGCUAAGAGUGUAGGGCCAGAUUGUUUUAUGUACCUGAUGACACCAGUGCAGAAAUUGGUUCUGAAGCGGUCUUAGCAGUGAAAAGAGAAUUUAAGGAGUGUCUCAGUACCACUUGGGUUUAAGUGCUUUCUAAUCAUGUAUUUUUAAAAAGAACUGAAAUCGUACAAGCAACCACAGGCUGGCUGCAGUUCAACUGCUGGCUGUUUGCACUGCUGAUGGAAUUUUUCCCAAAGGGUAAGGGCAGUUCACACACACACAAACACAAGGUGUGCACAAGAUAUGUGAGCUGGCUCUCCGUGAGUUUUGAUCAUUUAAAGAUUUGCAGUUACACAGCUAACUGUUAAAUAGAAAGGUAUUCUUGAGGAAAUGCAUGAGUCUCACACAUGUAAUCAUUCCACUUCAGUUUCUAGUGGCUACAGAUAUUUUUCUGUCAUGAAUUCCAUUUCUCAAACUUCAUUGACACAUAUACAUCAUCUUGUUUUCAUAUGGACUUUAAUGACCCUGUUUGCACUAUUAAGCCCUUCAUCUUCUCAAGUGUCAUGUAUGUGAAGAGGUCCAAAAUGUGGAUGAGAUUUAGCUUAGUACAUGCUUUCAGAGACCUUCAACAAUUUGAACAGAUGGCCAAAAAUAUUUUUGAUUAAGAACUACUUAAUUCAUUCACCUUUGUCAAGAGGAAACCUUGUGAAUAAAUAAGAGUAAGGUCGAGACUGUUUUUCAAAGCUACCCUGAAGUAUUUGAGGCUUUUUUUCUCCCUAAACUACAUGGAGAUUAUACAACCAUGAUCUAGUAGAAAUCUCAGCUUGUAUUGUUUCUUAGAGCUGUAAACUCUUCAGGAAGAAUCUGCGUCAUCACUGAGUUCCUUGGGUUCUGUCAGUAUUAAAAAUAACUGCAAUGGGCACCUUCAGUAGGUAUACACGUUUAAUUACAAAAGCUGAAUAGUUUUGCAGUAGACUGGCAUGAUUCUUGUAGAGGUUCCCUUUGUUUCACAAUACAGGAUUUAUUCUAAGAAAAACACUGAAAUCAGUGCAGAUAUUUACAUCGUCAGGGAUUUUGUCCCAGGCAUGUAUUAUACUCUUGCAUUUGAACUGGAAAAGACAGCAGUUCAUUAUGAUAGCAAGGUUUGGGGAUUUGUUCUUUUCUUUACCGGCACCAUGUCUGUCUUGCAGAUUCUAAGUUACCAGAGCAGUGAUGGAGCCAGGUGCUGAGAUGCGUAGUGUGUUUUUUGCAGCUUAGAGCUCAGUGACUAUUUCUGGAGCAUUUUAGUUGUACGCUGAAGUAAUUAUUUCAGCAUUUUGAGGUUGAGGUACCUUAUCUUCUGUGGGAUCCAUGACCUUUCAGGAGGGCAGGAGACCUCCACACUGGAACUGUCAGAGCCCCCUGGGAGCCUUGGGGGGCUGAUUCUCCUGGCUCUGUUGUGAUAGAUCAAAACAGUUUUGAUACUUUACAAAACCCAAUUUCUCUACACAUGGAGGAACCAGUUUUCCAAAAAGCAAUAGACCAGCCAUCUCUGCCUCCUAAAUACUAUGUUAUUAAAAUAACAUUAUUACCUAAUGAGCUAACUAUUGGCAUUUUUCUUCUUUUUCAAUAUGAAGUUUUCCAGGUGCUGUGUUUAUGCCAAGAGGUACUUAAUACAAACCAUCUUUUUCAUUUCUAGCCAUUAAAUAACAAUAAUGCAAUAGAACAAACCUGCUGUUUCCUGUUGCUUCCUGUGUUUGUAUUUUGCGCUUGACUCUUGACAUAAGAAGCCACCCUUGUUUAUGUAUCAUCAGUUUCACUGGAUUUUCAUAAUUCAUUUCACUUUGGCAUUUACAUGUUCUUGCAGUUUACUUUAGGUGUUACUCUAGUCCACAUUAUCAUAGUGUCUGGGUGCUUGUGUAGUUGCUUUGGGAUUCCAUCUCAAGAGGGGAAUUUUUGAAUUGCCCAAAACUGGUUUUUUUGAUCUUUGGAAAACAUUAAAACAUUUAUUUUCACACAUUACUUCUCCUAUGCAGAAGAUCUGUACCUCACCAAAAUUCCACUCACCUCCUCAUGUAAGUGCUAAAUUUAGAAGUAAAUAGUAUUCAGAUCUCUUUUGUAGGGCUGUCUGCAUGGCUGAAUUUCAUUAAUUAUAUUUUGAUGAAUACGUUCUUUUAAAUGCAGAUCUAACCUUCCCUCAAAUCUUAACAUAAUACAAAGCAACAUUGUAAUACAGAAACACACCUCUAUGUACAAAUACAAGCAUUAUAAUUUCCUUCCAGGUGUUUUCUGUGUUCUCACAGAGCUCUCUUGAGCACAGGAAGAAAUGCUCCUAGUGAUGUUCAACAGUACAGUCACUUUAAAUAUGCUCUCUUUCCAGUGAUGUUACCACCAUACUGCAUGGCCAUCACAUGAUAGAUGUUAGCUCAUUAUUGAGGAAAUAUUCCUCUACAGAAGCAGCUUAAGGGAUUUCAUUUAGGUGCUUCUGCACCUUCUGCAUAACAGUUGCCAUUUCUGGAAUAACCUUCUCCAACAGACUUCAACAUACCAACCAAGUAGGAGUAGGUAUCUUUCUCUCCUGAGUAACCUGGGCAGGCGUUUACAAGUCUUUAAGCCUCACAUUGCUGGUAAGUGAACUUCAGCAUACCAGCUAAUUUUAGAAGACCAAUGUUCAUUACAUAAAGGGAAUACAGUUCUGUAAAUUUAUAUAUACACUAGGAAAGUGCAUUACUAAUUUAUUGAUUCUGCAGAUCCAAAAUAUAUGCACUUCAAGCAGCAGUCCUCCAAGGAAAAAAGAUCCAAAUUGUAAAUACAGGAACACCUGCUGCUGCCCUUACAUUGCAGUUACCCCUGUGGGUAACCCAUUACCUAUCAGUCUUUGAAACUGCUUAUUUACACCUCACCCAUCACGACUAUUCCUUGUAGAGUAUAGGCCAGUAAAACUUACUAGCAGCAGUGGUUUCCUGUCUCAUUUCUUUAGGGACUUUCUUUUCAAGAUUUUUUUCUUAAACAGGACAAGUGGUUUCAGAGAGUGGGCAAAAAAGGCUAUACCUUACCUUGUUGAUCAUGGAGAAAUUUGUACCUUAGGAAGACUUCAUGGGCAUGGAACCUAUAUUCAGAUUUGGAAAGAAUAUUCCCUAAGAAAGAGAGAAGAGGAUCCAGGACAUUUCUUCUUUUCCUUUUAAAAAUUGCCGAAAAACUACUAAAUAAAUUAUUUCUGUUUCUCAAAAUAAACAGUUUGCUACCUGC